UACGAAGGGGGGCUAGCGUUGCUCGGAAUCACUGGGCGUAAAGCGCACGUAGGCGGAUUGCUAAGUCAGGGGUGAAAUCCUGGAGCUCAACUCCAGAACUGCCUUUGAUACUGGCGACCUUGAGUCCGGGAGAGGUGAGUGGAACUGCGAGUGUAGAGGUGAAAUUCGUAGAUAUUCGCAAGAACACCAGUGGCGAAGGCGGCUCACUGGCCCGGUACUGACGCUG
rnacentral:rRNA from 1 species